UACGGAGGGUGCAAACGUUGUCCGGAAUCACUGGGCGUAAAGCGCAUGUAGGUGGCUUUGUAAGUAGGCGAUUAAAGCCCGAUGCUUAACAUCGGAUCGGUUGUCUAAACUGCUUUGCUUGAGUAUGACAGGGGUAAGCGGAACUUUAGGUGUAGGAGUGAAAUCCGUAGAUAUCUAAAGGAACACCGAAUGGCGAAGGCAACUUACUGGGUCUUUACUGACACUGAGAUGCGAAAGCGUGGGGAGCGAACGGG
rnacentral:rRNA from 1 species